rnacentral:rRNA from 1 species
GCAUAUCAAUAAGCGGAGGAAAAGAAACCAACAGGGAUUGCCCUAGUAACGGCGAGUGAAGCGGCAACAGCUCAAAUUUGAAAUCUGGCCUUCGGGUCCGAGUUGUAAUUUGUAGAGGAUGCUUUUGGUGAGGUACCUUCCGAGUUCCCUGGAACGGGACGCCAUAGAGGGUGAGAGCCCCGUCUGGUUGGAUACCGAUCCUCUGUAAAGCUCCUUCGACGAGUCGAGUAGUUUGGGAAUGCUGCUCUAAAUGGGAGGUAUAUGUCUUCUAAAGCUAAAUAUUGGCCAGAGACCGAUAGCGCACAAGUAGAGUGAUCGAAAGAUGAAAAGCACUUUGAAAAGAGAGUUAAAAAGUACGUGAAAUUGUUGAAAGGGAAGCGCUCAUGACCAGACUUGGGCUUGGUUGAUCAUCCAGGGUUCUCCCUGGUGCACUCUUCCAGCUCAGGCCAGCAUCAGUUCGCUGUGGGGGAUAAAGGCUUCGGGAAUGUGGCUCCUCCGGGAGUGUUAUAGCCCGCUGCGUAAUACCCUGUGGCGGACUGAGGUUCGCGCAUCUGCAAGGAUGCUGGCGUAAUGGUCAUCAGCGACCCGUCUUGAAACACGGACCAAGGAGUCGUCUUCGUAUGCGAGUGUUCGGGUGUUAAACCCCUACGCGUAAUGAAAGUGAACGCAGGUGAGAGCUUCGGCGCAUCAUCGACCGAUCCUGAUGUUCUCGGAUGGAUUUGAGUAAGAGCAUACGGGGCCGGACCCGAAAGAAGGUGAACUAUGCCUGUAUAGGGUGAAGCCAGAGGAAACUCUGGUGGAGGCUCGCAGCGGUUCUGACGUGCAAAUCGAUCGUCAAAUAUGGGCAUGGGGGCGAAAGACUAAUCGAACCUUCUAGUAGCUGGUUUCCGCCGAAG